GAUGAACGCUAGCUACAGGCUUAACACAUGCAAGUCGAGGGGCAUCAGGAAGAAAGCUUGCUUUCUUUGCUGGCGACCGGCGCACGGGUGAGUAACACGUAUCCAACCUGCCCUUUACUCGGGGAUAGCCUUUCGAAAGAAAGAUUAAUACCCGAUAGUAUAAUGAUUCCACAUGGUUUGAUUAUUAAAGGAUUCCGGUAAAGGAUGGGGAUGCGUUCCAUUAGGUUGUUGGUGAGGUAACGGCUCACCAAGCCUUCGAUGGAUAGGGGUUCUGAGAGGAAGGUCCCCCACAUUGGAACUGAGACACGGUCCAAACUCCUACGGGAGGCAGCAGUGAGGAAUAUUGGUCAAUGGGCGGUAGCCUGAACCAGCCAAGUAGCGUGAAGGAUGAAGGCUCUAUGGGUCGUAAACUUCUUUUAUAUAAGAAUAAAGUGCAGUAUGUAUACUGUUUUGUAUGUAUUAUAUGAAUAAGGAUCGGCUAACUCCGUGCCAGCAGCCGCGGUAAUACGGAGGAUCCGAGCGUUAUCCGGAUUUAUUGGGUUUAAAGGGAGCGUAGGUGGACUGGUAAGUCAGUUGUGAAAGUUUGCGGCUCAACCGUAAAAUUGCAGUUGAUACUGUCAGUCUUGAGUACAGUAGAGGUGGGCGGAAUUCGUGGUGUAGCGGUGAAAUGCUUAGAUAUCACGAAGAACUCCGAUUGCGAAGGCAGCUCACUGGACUGCAACUGACACUGAUGCUCGAAAGUGUGGGUAUCAAACAGGAUUAGAUACCCUGGUAGUCCACACAGUAAACGAUGAAUACUCGCUGUUUGCGAUAUACAGUAAGCGGCCAAGCGAAAGCAUUAAGUAUUCCACCUGGGGAGUACGCCGGCAACGGUGAAACUCAAAGGAAUUGACGGGGGCCCGCACAAGCGGAGGAACAUGUGGUUUAAUUCGAUGAUACGCGAGGAACCUUACCCGGGCUUAAAUUGCAGUGGAAUGAUGUGGAAACAUGUCAGUGAGCAAUCACCGCUGUGAAGGUGCUGCAUGGUUGUCGUCAGCUCGUGCCGUGAGGUGUCGGCUUAAGUGCCAUAACGAGCGCAACCCUUAUCUUUAGUUACUAACAGGUUAUGCUGAGGACUCUAGAGAGACUGCCGUCGUAAGAUGUGAGGAAGGUGGGGAUGACGUCAAAUCAGCACGGCCCUUACGUCCGGGGCUACACACGUGUUACAAUGGGGGGUACAGAAGGCAGCUAGCGGGUGACCGUAUGCUAAUCCCAAAAUCCUCUCUCAGUUCGGAUCGAAGUCUGCAACCCGACUUCGUGAAGCUGGAUUCGCUAGUAAUCGCGCAUCAGCCACGGCGCGGUGAAUACGUUCCCGGGCCU
rnacentral:rRNA from 1 species